UAAACGACGAGGAUUCGGAAUAGUAACCCCCGGAACGAGUCUCAGAGAGCUGGCUCUAGAGCUGAAAAGCCGGCGUCAACGUCGGGGGUGAAUGGGCCGAGGAGUUGUUCAGGUGAACGGCUGAAACAUAAUGGCUUAUUAGCCUGGAUCGGAGGUGCCACCGUUAUCAGGGCAUAGGUCUCGUUUCGGUUGAAUAUUGUUCUCUGGAGAUCCAGCGGCAAGAACGAUCGGAACCGGACUGAAAUGAGUGAGGCUGGCUAAUACCACACACGGCGCCAUCACCGGCGCUUUUUUAUUGCUAGCCUAAAGUGGGUGGCACCACGGGAGAAUGAACGCUCUCGUCCCAGCA
rnacentral:ncRNA from 1 species